rnacentral:lncRNA from 1 species
UUUAUUGCUGAUAUAUAGGAACAUGAUUAACUUUUAUGUGCUUAUAUACUGAGAUCUUGCUGAACUUAUUCAUUUGUUCUAAGAACUUUUGGGAAUGUAGAUUUUCUUAGAUUUUUAAAUGUGAUUUCUAGAUUGUGUGAUUGAUGAUAUUCCUACAUAGAAUGUAAAGUUUAAAAAUUGUUUUUGUUUUUAAAUCAGAGUGAUAAAAACUGAGGGGUAAUUGGGUGUGAGGUACCCUUUGGGAUAUGCAUGUAGACAUUUUCAAAGCACAUUGAAUAUCUUGGUCUAGAACUCAUUAAGAACAAGAGAUUGGGAUGACAGUUUAUGGACCAAUCAACAUAGAGAUGCUAAUUAAAGUCAUGGGCAUGAGUGAGACCAUCUACAGUGUGUCUUUACACUUAGAAAAAGUCAGAAAUAAAUACUAUUGAAGAGAAUGUAUAUAGUUUUCUGUCAUUUUUUUUCUUUUAUUUAUACAACUGCUUAAUGUUGGAAAAGGGAUAGCAGAACAGAAUUACUCUGUAUUGUCUUUCAGUAUCACCUCCUGGUAAUAAGAAAAUAUGCAGAAAAGAACACAGCAGGCCAGAGAUUGCUAUCCUGAGGAAGGCCUCCUUACAAGGUUGGCCCAGCUGGCAUUCCAGAACUUGGAUUUGGGAGUGUUUCCACCAUUUCCUGGUAAGAAUGGCAAGAAUAAAAGUUUACAAGACUUAACCUCUGCAACCUGGCCACCCAGAGAAGGCAUUGGCGCCCUACAAAGUUCUGUGGAAAUCAGCUAUCAUCCAAUGCUUUAG